rnacentral:misc_RNA from 1 species
ACUUUCCUCUUAGACAAAACCCAACACGCUGGUACAUGCCAAUGCGAGUUGAGCAGUCAUUUUAGGGAGAGAGUAGACACUAAAUUGGGACAUAACAAGGAUCCCAUGAGACCCAUGCCCACAUCAGGUUCCAUAUCAAAGAGACCAAGCAGUGUUCAAUACGCCACUUCAUCAACACACUCGUUAUUGAUGUGUGGUUCAAAGAGACAGCUUUAAGGUUCACCAGAUGUCAUCAUGAGCAUGACACAAGACGAAAGAAACUGAUAGAAGCCAAAUAAAUGCCUUAUAUUGAGGUAAGCAGCACAAGAAACCCAAAAUUUAGUUAGGCUAUGGAAGCCUUAACAAACGAAUGAAAAGGUAUGCCAGGUGGAAGUUGUUGCACAAGCAAAGAGCCAACCACCAUUAACAAACC